rnacentral:rRNA from 1 species
UGCAGUCGAGCGAACUGAUUAGAAGCUUGCUUCUAUGACGUUAGCGGCGGACGGGUGAGUAACACGUGGGCAACCUGCCUGUAAGACUGGGAUAACUUCGGGAAACCGAAGCUAAUACCGGAUAGGAUCUUCUCCUUCAUGGGAGAUGAUUGAAAGAUGGUUUCGGCUAUCACUUACAGAUGGGCCCGCGGUGCAUUAGCUAGUUGGUGAGGUAACGGCUCACCAAGGCAACGAUGCAUAGCCGACCUGAGAGGGUGAUCGGCCACACUGGGACUGAGACACGGCCCAGACUCCUACGGGAGGCAGCAGUAGGGAAUCUUCCGCAAUGGACGAAAGUCUGACGGAGCAACGCCGCGUGAGUGAUGAAGGCUUUCGGGUCGUAAAACUCUGUUGUUAGGGAAGAACAAGUACAAGAGUAACUGCUUGUACCUUGACGGUACCUAACCAGAAAGCCACGGCUAACUACGUGCCAGCAGCCGCGGUAAUACGUAUGUGGCAAGCGUUAUCCGGAAUUAUUGGGCGUAAAGCGCGCGCAGGCGGUUUCUUAAGUCUGAUGUGAAAGCCCACGGCUCAACCGUGGAGG